rnacentral:tRNA from 1 species
GCCCUCGUAGCCCAACCGGCAGAGGGCCGGUGUUGAGGACGCCGGUGGUGCGCGUUCGCAUCGCGCCGGGGGGC